AAAAGAAAAAUGGAAACCUUGGGGGGAAGGGAGGAAGAUUCUAAAAUGGGCUGCUGAAGGAUGGUAUGGUUGGCUGCAGGAAACCUGAGCAGAUACUCUUCUAUUAGGAGUUAAACCUUGGAUUCCCUUCUCCUGAGAAACUAGAAGAGGUGAGGACCCAAAGAAAAGCUUUCUUAGUUGUCAUCCCUGCAUCACUACAGCUGGCUUCCAGAGUCCAGGAGGGCAACAACACUGUCUUCAGAAAGUACAUGGUUGGUGAUUAAGAAGAAAGAAAGUUGCACGCUAUGACUGUCUGCGGGUAAAGAGUAUAUGUAAUUAAUACGAUUAUUCUUAUGAAUCUAAUGCACAAAUAAACACAAAUACUUUCCACAUCUGAUCUGAAGCUAAAUCAGACAGGCUGACAAGCCAAUAGCCUUGGAUGGAUCAUACCUUAUUUUUGAUUAGCAAUAGCAAUAGCACUUAGACUCUCCACAGUGCUUUGCAGCCGUCUCUAAAUGGCUUACAGUAUCAGCAUAUUGCUCCCAACAGUCUGGGUCUUCAUUUUACUGACCUUGGAAGGAUGGAAGGCUGAGGUAAUCUUGAGCCACUCAGAAUUGAAUUCCUGAAGUGAGCAGUGAAUUUGCUUGCAAUACUACA